rnacentral:rRNA from 1 species
AACGAACGCUGGCGGCAGGCUUAACACAUGCAAGUCGAACGCGCCCUUCGGGGCGAGUGGCAGACGGGUGAGUAACGCGUGGGAACCUACCUUUUGGUACGGAAUAACUCAGGGAAACUUGAGCUAAUACCGUAUAAGCCCUGACUUUUAAUCGGGUUUGGGGAAAGAUUUAUCGCCAAAGGAUGGGCCCGCGUCGGAUUAGCGAGUUGGUGGGGUAAUGGCCUACCAAGGCGACGAUCCGUAGCUGGUCUGAGAGGAUGAUCAGCCACACUGGGACUGAGACACGGCCCAGACUCCUACGGGAGGCAGCAGUGGGGAAUAUUGGACAAUGGGGGCAACCCUGAUCCAGCCAUGCCGCGUGAGUGAUGAAGGCCUUAGGGUUGUAAAGCUCUUUCGCCGGUGAAGAUAAUGACGGUAACCGGAGAAGAAGCCCCGGCUAACUUCGUGCCAGCCGCCGCGGUAAUAC